GGGUGUGUUCUUUAUUGUUUGGUUUUUUUUUUGUUUGUGUGGAUGUUUUGGUUGGUUGUUUCUUGUUUUCAAAAGAGAAAGUAUAUGGUAUAUUCCUUUCUGUUACUUGUUUUUCCAGCAUGGGUCACAUACUCUUCUCACUGUCUACGUAUUGGCUCAGGUAAGCUUGCCUUGCCACUUCCAUUGUGUCCAAGUGUUGUCUCAGAUGUCCAGCUUUUUCACAGACAGAAGCUUCUCAGAAGGCUGACACAGGGAACCAAUUUCAACUCUGCAAGCUGAUGCAGUGGUGGCUUCCAAAAUUAUGCCUGUGUACAUAGCAGAACAAGAUUUAACUAAAUCUGUCCUCUCCAAGGCAAAGGUUUCAUGGUUUGUGCUUUUCUUACAGUAGGAUACAAUAGCAGUUACUUGUUCUCACUUUAACUUCUAUUCAUAACGAACAGGCAGCGUUUAUUAUAUACAGUACAGGAUCAGCUUUUUUAUUGCAAGUUAGAAUACGCAAUGGCCUUAUCAGAUAUUAAAUUAGUAAUUUAAGUGUCACCUACAACCUUCUUGCAGAAGUCUUCUGUAGGAUUUAAGAAAUAGGCUGAAUUUCUGAUUUUUAAUUUUUUUUUACUAGAAAGGUUGUACUGCAAAAUUUGGUUGUUCUGGUUUACUACUAACAAAUUCUGCUGUUACUGUUCUAAACAAUCAUUCUUGUAAAUGCCAAGAACUUUGUUGUGUGUAGAUAUUACUAGUUCCAAACCACAGAAGAAGCCAAAAAUGCUUAUAUUUUUUCAGUAGUUUUAUGAAACUUUUUCACUGUCCUUCACAGAUUUUAAUGGUAGAAUUAUCUAUUUAUUGAAUGACCUGUCUGGCACUGAAAUCUGUUAGUGUGGUGCAUACCUAUAGCUUCCAUAUUGAAAAGAGAAUUGAAUAAAAGUAGAAAUAGUUUUCUUGUUUCUGUUUCAAAUGUAUUAAUUUUUUCUAACUUUUAUAAAAUAUAGAAUAUUUUGCUGUUAGGAAUAAAGUAUUUUACAAAUAAAACUAGCAUAUAGCUCCU
rnacentral:lncRNA from 1 species